AAGUCGUAACAAGGUUUCCGUAGGUGAACCUGCGGAAGGAUCAUUAUCGGGAGAAGGGGUCUAACCGGCCUCAACUCUUCGCCCUUGUAUUUCUUGACCUGUGUUGCUUUGGCGGGCCAUCGGGUCUUAAUCAUGAUUCCGUCGUCGGAGAUUUCCGACGAGUGCCCGUCAAAGGAUCUAAGAAACCCUUUUAUCAGUGAAGUCCGAGCGAACAGACAUUUAACUGUCAAAAACUUUCAACAACGGAUCUCUUGGUUCUG
rnacentral:misc_RNA from 1 species